rnacentral:rRNA from 1 species
CAAUAGCGUAUAUUAAAGUUGUUGCAGUUAAAAAGCUCGUAGUUGGAUUUCUGGUGGGAGCGAUCGGUCUGGCGCUUAGCGCGAGUACUUGCAUCGUCUCCGGCCAUCCUUGGGGAGAGUCUGUCUGGCAUUAGGUUGUCGGGCAGAGGAUCCUCAUCGUUUACUGUGAAAAAAUUAGAGUGUUCAAAGCAGGCUUAUGCCGUUGAAUAUAUUAGCAUGGAAUAAUAAGAUAGGGCUUUGGUACUAUUUUGUUGGUUUGCGCACCAAAGUAAUGAUUAAUAGGGACAGUUGGGGGUAUUCGUAUUCCGUUGUCAGAGGUGAAAUUCUUGGAUUUACGGAAGACGAACUACUGCGAAAGCAUUUACCAAGGAUGUUUUCAUUAA